CGCUGAGCGGGGAGAGCGAGCCCUGCUCCGGGCCGGAGAGCUCCGUCCUGCGGCCGGCCCGGCUCGGGGGCGAGGAGGGAGCGAGCGGCCCACCCGCACCAACGCGGGCAGGGUCUGUGUUUCACUUUCUGAGACCGAAAGGAAGGCGGCCCCAGGCUCGGCCGCUUUGCUGUCUGUGUGCCGAGUCUCGCGGGCUGGCUCCAAGCACCUACAUCAUCCACCUGUUAGCAGAAGAGCUCCUUGUUGUAGAGAUUAAAGAAUGGAAGUUCCAGAAAAAGGAAGGAAAGAAUGCAUGGAGCCAAGACAAAGGUAUUCAAGGACAUCUCUGCUAAAUUACAGGAGCAUCUGGGGCUAUGUAUAGAUACAUCCCUCUGCACAAGGGGAACAGAAGAACAUGGAGCUGUAGAACAAUACUGAAGCUUCCCUGAGAAUGCUACAUCAGCUCUGACUAGCAACUCUGGUCAUGCCCUGCUGCCUUUAGGUUGCUAUGCCUUAUCUGAACAAGCCAGAAGGCAUUAACAAACCUCCUUCCUUCUUACAAAGCUGUCCUAUGCUGCUUUUCUCACGUUUGACUCAGUCUUAGACACAAGAAGUUCUUCUAUAGAUGAGAUUGUCUGAAUUGUUCUCUUUGUCAUCAUCACUGAGAUGAAAUUAGGAUUUCUUCUUAGAUAGUGAAGUGUGUCAUCCAUUUUCCACAUGAGGUGGAAACACACACCUUAGGUAGCUAGGCUAAGUAUGUGGCUUAAGAGGAUAGGGGGACUAGGUUAAGAAAGAACUCUCAUUAAAUUUGCAAACCACCAGCAGUGCACAGAAUCAUAAAUCUCUGCCCAGGUAAUAUUCUGAUGAAGUGGGAUGACUGGAAGAAGCAACUACUCAUUUUAAAAUAUAAAAAAAAAUUGCAUUUCAAAGUAUAAAUUCUCACAGUUUAAGGAGGAAGAGGGGGUAAUAACUCCCCCCAGUGCUUCCUCUACUAGCAGAUAAAACUGCAUAUGUGAAAUUCAGUAAUUAUUAGAGCAAUUGGCCUGGACUGAGACCUCUGGAAGGAUGGAUAAAGUGCUACAUAUGCCUGAUUUAAUUUUCUUGUAACUAGCCAAGGCAGUGAGCACUGCAAGACCUGAUGAUGUACUGACUUUGUAGGAGGCACAUACCCUCACUAAUGCAUAUAUGAUUGGUUUACGUUUCGAUACAAGCAUAGCAGCAACCUCCAUGGUCUGUGCACAUUAAUUUACUCAUAAAUAAAAGAAUCAUGUGCUUUUGAGGGUCUUAACCCAACUUUUGAAAGGGUACCUUUAUUUGCAAGCCUUGGAAAGUAACUUUUUCUCAAACUGCUCAUA